rnacentral:tRNA from 1 species
GGCGGCGGGCUUGCUUCGGGCUGAAGGCAGAGGAUCACGGCCUCGCGCGCGGCCGGUUCGAGCCCGGCCGCCGCCA